AGUGGCGAAUGAAGCGGGAAAAGCUCAAGUUUGAAAUCUGGCGGGCGACCGUCCAGAGUUGUAAGCUGGAGAGGUGUCGUCGGAUGCGGUCCGGGCUCAAUUUCCUUGGAACAGGAGGUCAUGGAGGGUGAGAACCCCGUAUGUGGCUUGGGUGCCGUGGUCCUUGUGACGUAUCCUCUAAGAGUCGGGUUGUUUGGGAAUGCAGCUCAAAAUGGGUGGUAAAUUUCAUCUAAAGCUAAAUAUUGGUGAGAGACCGAUAGCAAACAAGUAGAGUGAUCGAAAGAUGAAAAGUACUUUGAAAAGAGAGUGAAACAGUACGUGAAAUUGUUGAAAGGGAAGCGUUUGGCAUCAGCCCAUGGCGGCGGUCGAACAUCUGGGCUUCUGCCCAGUGCACUCGGCAGUCGCCGGGCCAGCGUCGGUUCCACCUGCUGGAGAAAGGCCUUGGGGAAGUGGCACUCCCUUGUGGAGUGUGUUAUAACCCAUGGCGUCAUGCGGCUUGGUGGGACC
rnacentral:rRNA from 1 species